AAAUUCUUGAACUAUUUCCUUAUGGUAUCCUAACCAUAUAUUUUCUCAAACUUAUUACUUGGAAUGCGGGUUUUGAAAUGCAGGGACAUACCAAGCCUAUCCUUUCUGUGUGCUGGGAUCCAUCUGAUGAGUUCCUUGCAUCAGUCAAAUUAUACAUGGUCAUCCUAUAAGGUUAGAGCAUACUUACAGCAUCAAUGGAAGCAGAUUCUAUCUGGAAGGGUGUCUCUUCAGGAUUUUGUAUCUGCAAAGGAGGUUCGCCUAGGCACCUACCGUAACUAGCUCUGUUCUUGUUUUGGCAGGAUAAACAAACAAUGUUAUUGUUAAUGGGAAAUAGCAGCAGCCCAUCAUUAGCGAAGAUUCAAAGGAAGCUAUGAAGCAUGCAUUCGAACUCUUUAAUGUUCGAUUGGAAGUAGACUUUGGGACUAGUGAUAUAGGACAUAGCUUAGGAUUGUAAUGAAUAUUUGUAAUUUAUUACAUUUGUCUUUUGUUAAUGAUGAUAUAUACUAUUCUUCGAACAACAAUUUUUCAA